rnacentral:miRNA from 1 species
UUUUUAGUAUAAGUAUACCCCGUGCAAUGUUUGUAACAUACUUAUACUAAGG